CGCUCCGCGGCUUGUUGCUGGGGGGAGGGGACUAGUUCAGGCAGUGGAGACACAGAGCGGGUCGAUCGCUUGGGCCGUUCUAGGAGGAUCCGGGGUAGACUUGACGUUCAGAGCCAGUGAUGGAGCCGGUGGACCGUACGUGGGAUGAGUAGGGAAAGUUGAGAAGUCUGUCCGAAUCGGGUCGCUAAAGGGGUGACUGCGGUGUCGACGGUUAGAAGCUGCUGCUUUGCGGACGGUCUGAGGGAGUAUAAGAGGAAAUGCCUAUGGCUGAUGGUUUCUGAUGAAAGAGCUGUUUGAUGCCGUUUACAAAAUUGGCUAGGCUUGAGGAGCGCUGGUCAGAUGAAGACUUUGGAUCCCCUGGGACUGAACUUGAAGACAGUUGCAAACUGCCAUGUGGGUGCUGGGAACUGAACCUGAGUCCUCUGAAAGAACAGUGUUCCAUCAGAACCUCAGUCUGUUUUUGCAGUGGAUGCUGUGAACUUCCUGUGGCCUAUCCAUGGUGAUGGGAUAAUAAUAUAUUGGUAUUUGUGAGUUAUUGUUUUUAGAAAAUUGUAUUGAUGUUGAUUUCUGUACAUUGAUAUAUUAAAUAUUGUAUG